UUCUGGCACACCCUUAAUGCUUUUGCGCCCUGCGCUUUAGACUUUGCCCCUAGAUCAUUAAAAUCAAACCCAAAGUGAUAUGCUGCAUUAAUGUAACAUGUGAUCUUUGUGUUUCUAAUAUAUUACAUAAUUUUAUUAUUUAUUUACAACACUUACUGUGGGUGUCUUUUUUUACUUGCUUGUCUUUGCUUAUGUUGAAUUGUUGUGUGGUCUGUACUGUACAUUCCUUGCCUUUAAUGGGGCAAAAAACAUAAUCAACUGAACUGAAUAAUCAUUCUACAAUAACUUUGGGUUUUAUAAAGCUUCAGUCUAGAGAUUUCGGUCGGUUAUGAAUACCCCACAUCUACAGUCAAGCAUGUCUGUCUUGUUUUUUGUCACCAGAUCUUUUAGAGAGAUUCCUCCAAAUGUUUGUGAGGGCUAGUAGGCGAAAACCACAAGAUGACCAGACCAGACUGGACCCUCCGAGACAGAAAACGCCCAGUGUCAAAGUUCAGCGAUUCAGAGUAAAGCGAUACGCCGCAGCAAUAGAGAAGCAGAACAGAAAAUGAACACAUGGAAAGGUGCUGAUGUGUUCCCUCACACCACGCCGCAGGUCCAUUUCUCUCAGGCCCCGAGGUGUAAAUAGGAAUGUUCUUGCUGUAUUCUCAGAGUCUCCAUAACCACACAUUGGUCAGCCAUCAUCAUCAUCCUCAGCUGGGACGAGUCUGAACUGGAAGAGAUAAGGUUGGCGGGUCGGUGUCAGUGAGUUCCUGAUUCAUCAGGGGCCGCCACAGCAG